AAAGGAUUUCUGGAUUUGGUAAAAUAAAAGGUUUUCUACCCCUCGUGGUAGCUUUUAUAAAAGAUAAAAGUUUUCGCGUAUGGAACAGUUUUCAAAAAAUUUUUCGUGGAGUUUUGUUUAAACAUCGAAUGUAAAACUACGGAGUGAAUGGUGAAUGUAUGAAUGUAUAGCUAUCUGUAUAUUCAUUUAGUUGUGGUUGUAUACUGUUUGUACUUUUGUA
rnacentral:lncRNA from 1 species